AGUAACACGUGGGGAACCGUGCCCCACUAGUCUGGGAUACCACUUGGAAACAGGUGCUAAUACCGGAUAAGAAAGCGGAUCGCAUGAUCAGCUUUUAAAAGGCGGCGUAAGCUGUCGCUAUGGGAUGGCCCCGCGGUGCAUUAGCUAGUUGGUAAGGUAAAGGCUUACCAAGGCGAUGAUGCAUAGCCUAGUUGAGAGACUGAUCGGCCACAUUGGGACUUAGACACGGCCCAAACUCCUACGGGAGGCAGCAGGG
rnacentral:rRNA from 1 species